rnacentral:rRNA from 1 species
UACGUAGGCAGCAAGCGUUGUUCGGAGUUACUGGCGUAAAGGGCGCGUAGGCGGCCACUGCAAGUCAGUUGUGAAAUCUCCGGGCUUAACCCGGAAAGGUCAACUGAUACUGCAGGGCUAGAGUGCAGAAGGGGCAACUGGAAUUCUCGGUGUAGCGGUGAAAUGCGUAGAUAUCGAGAGGAACACCUGCGGCGAAGGCGGGUUGCUGGGCUGACACUGACGCUGAGGCGCGAAAGCCAGGGGAGCGAACGGG